GGUGUUGUAGGAGAUGCCAGGGUUGUGUUACGGUUUUCAGUGUCAAGCGUCAUCACCAUAGCAACAGAAUAUAUCACCUGUUCAGUAGUGAUGCAUUCACGCCGUCUAGUACCCCGGAAUAUUGCGCUACUGCAAUGAAAUACAGCUGGUGGACAGCAGAGGGGAGUGUUGUCCUUCACUGGAAGUUAGGGAUACUCCUCCAGCACAAGAUACAGUACGUGUUUCUGGCACACUUCCCAGCUGCCUGCAGGAAGAGGAGAAGGGAUGCUUCUCAUCAGCAUGACUGCAGUGGCAGGGUCCUCGGGGCCUCAUGGAAGGACUCAACUUGACUAUCUUCUUUCAAAGAAGACCAAAAAACAUCCUAGCCCACCUGCUUGAAUGGAAACCCAACACCAGCUGGCCUCUGGGAGACCAAUCAGUACAGGAAAGCCAUGGAUUACAGCCUCCACUGCCACACCAUCUUCAGUAAUGCUGCUGUCGCCCUGGGCUGCCAGCUCUCCAUGUCUACUGUGAGGAAAAAGGCUCCCCUGCAACAAAAACUGGCAACCUGUACCCCACCUCUCACCCAAUGUCAGCUGGGAUUGGCUCUAGUCCUCUGUGACCCUAUAGAUGGAUGGACUUCCUGGAGCCUCUGCUGGUUGCCUGACAUAUAGAUGUAACCCUCCAUAAAAUGAUGAGCUGUCAUCUUUACUCUUAAACGCAGUAUACUGUGUUAUUAUAUAAGCUUUUGAAGUGCUAGUACAGUUGGUGCAUUUUGUUAUGAAGCCAGGUUAGCCACUGUUUUCAGGUUUUAUGCUAAGCUAAGUGACUGCUGGCUGUAGCUUGACAUUUAGCAUGAGAGUGGCAUCAGUUUCUCAAUGAAGAAAGCACAUAAUAUUUCUCAAAAUGUCAAAUUAUUCCUUCAAGGGUUUUUGCCAAAUUUCUUUUAAAGUAAAUGUAGCAAAUACUGGCACAGAAUAAUGGCAUUCAGCAGUUUUCUUCUCCAAAAUAUAAUUUUCAGCCUUCAAACAUCUGCAAGUUGCAGGUGAGACAGACUGAGAUGAUUCUCAGCAUUGAGGGCAAACGACAGGCAUGUUUGUGCACAUUCCCGAAAGCCACAGCUCCUGUUGGCAGGUUGCUGUGCCUAUUAUUGCUCACCCAGGUCCAUGUGUUUAUGUCUUGGGUUUCUCUCUUUCUUCCCCCCCUCCCUCCAUCCUAUAUAUCCUAAUGCCACUGAAGAAUGAUCUUAUGUUAUAAAAGUACUGGAGCAGUUAUAUCCAGUGAGCAGGACCAUUGUUUUCUCAUUCAGCUGGUACUUUAUGUUGAGGAUCUAUUCAGCUAUGAGGAUUCACUAGCUUUGUCUUGCUGUAACACACACAUUUCACAGAAUGAAUGUAAGACUGUAGAGUAACAUGAAUGUAAAACAGUGACAUGGUUUAUUUCUAUAGCUCACUGAGAUUUUUUUUUCUGGAUGAACUUGAAUGCCUCCUUUGUUGAGCUGAAGAAUGGUGGCUAAAAGUGAAGCUGUGGUGUAAUGGAGGGUUUCUGUGGCCUUGUUAGUUCUUGUGGUGGUGGGCUCAGAGUGGGUCUGCAGCCCACAGAAUUCAGCCCACAUAUAUUCCAGAAUCUUUCAUACAGAAACCACAUAGUUUGGACACAAUGUGACAACAAAGGGGGUAAACUAUACAACAUAGGAACAAAGCCACACAGAGCUCUGGUUUGCCACUCAAGUUACAGUAAUUAAAUUCAAUUCGAUUCAGUUUUAUUUAGCGCCAAUUCACAAGAAAAAAAAAAUCAUCUCAAGGCACUUUACAUAGAAAUGUAGAUGAAGACUUACUGUAGCUCUGCAGCUACAACCAAUAGUGUGAAAUCACCAUUAAAAGAAUAGUUUGACGUUUAGAAAUACAUUAGUUUAAUUUCUUUCUGAGAGUUAGAUGAGAACAUUAA